rnacentral:rRNA from 1 species
AUUGAACGCUGGCGGCAUGCCUUACACAUGCAAGUCGAACGGCAGCGCGGGGCAACCUGGCGGCGAGUGGCGAACGGGUGAGUAAUAUAUCGGAACGUACCCUGGAGUGGGGGAUAACGUAGCGAAAGUUACGCUAAUACCGCAUACGAUCUAAGGAUGAAAGUGGGGGAUUCGCAAGAACCUCAUGCUCCUGGAGCGGCCGAUAUCUGAUUAGCUAGUUGGUGGGUAAAGGCCUACCAAGGCAUCGAUCAGUAGCUGGUCUGAGAGGACGACCAGCCACACUGGAACUGAGACACGGUCCAGACUCCUACGGGAGGCAGCAGUGGGGAAUUUUGGACAAUGGGCGAAAGCCUGAUCCAGCAAUGCCGCGUGAGUGAAGAAGGCC